CGCUGGCGGCACGCCUAACACAUGCAAGUCGAACGAAGUAGCAAUACUUAGUGGCAGACGGGUGAGUAACAUGUAGGUAUCUACCCUUUGGCCUGGAAUAACACGAGGAAACUUGUGCUAAUACCGGAUAAGUCUUUACGGAGAAAGCUUUAUGCACCAUUGGAUGAGCCUGCACUUGAUUAGUUUGUUGGUGGGGUAAUGGCCUACCAAGACUUUGAUCAAUAGCUGAUUUGAGAGGAUGAUCAGCCACAUUGGGACUGAGACACGGCCCAAACUCCUACGGGAGGCAGCAGUGGGGAAUCUUGCACAAUGGAGGAAACUCUGAUGCAGCGAUGCCGCGUGAGUGAAGAAGGCCUUUGGGUUGUAAAGCUCUUUCGUCGGGGAAGAAAAUGACUGUACCCGAAUAAGAAGGUCCGGCUAACUUCGUGCCAGCAGCCGCGGUAAUACGAAGGGACCUAGCGUAGUUCGGAAUUACUGGGCUUAAAGAGUUCGUAGGUGGUUGAAAAAGUUGGUGGUGAAAUCCCAGAGCUUAACUCUGGAACUGCCAUCAAAACUUUUCAGCUAGAGUUUGAUAGAGGAAAGCAGAAUUUCUAGUGUAGAGGUGAAAUUCGUAGAUAUUAGAAAGAAUACCAAUUGCGAAGGCAGCUUUCUGGAUCAUUACUGACACUGAGGAACGAAAGCAUGGGUAGCGAAGAGGAUUAGAUACCCUCGUAGUCCAUGCUGUAAACGAUGUGUGUUAGACGUUGGAAAUUUAUUUUCAGUGUCGCAGCGAAAGCGAUAAACACACCGCCUGGGGAGUACGACCGCA
rnacentral:rRNA from 1 species